rfam:Danio rerio chromosome 14, GRCz11 reference primary assembly.
GUCGGCAGCUAGCUCUCUGUAACUCUCACAUGGUCAACCAAUGAAGCCAAGCAAAGCUGUGCCCAGUCUGUCCCUGGAUGGGAGACCACAUGGGAAAGCUAGGUUGCUGCCAGAA